rnacentral:rRNA from 1 species
GACGAAGGAUGCAAGCGUUAUCCGGAUUCAUUGGGCUUAAAGGGUGCGUAGGCGGUCUAUUAAGUCAGUGGUGAAAGCCGGUAGCUUAACUAUCGAAUUGCCAUUGAUACUGGUAGACUUGAGUACAGAUGCUGUGGGCGGAAUAUGACAUGUAGUGGUGAAAUACAUAGAGAUGUCAUAGAACACCGAUUGCGAAGGCAGCUCACAAAGCUGUAACUGACGCUGAGGCACGAAAGUGUGGGGAUCAAACAGG